rnacentral:rRNA from 1 species
UACAGAGGUGCCGAGCGUUAGGCGGAAUCACUGGGCUUAAAGCGUGUGUAGGCGGAUGCCUAAGUACCUUGUGAAGUCCCACAGCUCAACUGUGGAACUGCUUGGUAUACUGGGUGUCUUGAGCCACUUAGGGGUUACCGGAACAAAUGGUGGAGCGGUGAAAUGCGUAGAUAUCAUUUGGAACGCCAAUGGUGAAAACAGGUAACUGGGAGUGUGCUGACGCUGAGACACGAAAGCCAGGGGAGCGAACGGG